GUGAGGUGCACCACCAAGGUCAUUGGCAUAAUCCCCUCCUCCCCUGAAGACAUGAAUCCCACCUUCGGAUACCGGUGAAGCACUAGAACUCCAAACAAACAUGUGCAAGUCCUUGCCAUUAUCGGUCCCAUUUGCCUUCUUCUUGGCUCCGGGAGAGAAUAUCCCAGCAUUAGGUGGCGCAGGAUAUGCAUUUCCAUUUGCUCUUGAAACGUUUCCAAAUACUCCAAUU
rnacentral:misc_RNA from 1 species